CAGGAGCGAGACAGGCGGACAAAGGGCAGCGCACUGGUCCUCUGCGUGACGGGGGGGACAGGCCCCAAAUUGUCCUGAGCUUUCAAGCAGCCAAAAUCAGAUCCACGAGGUUCGGUGUUUGUGAGGUACCCAGGACUCAGGGGCUACAGUGAAGCCAGACCUUCCUGGGGCCCUGAGACCAGAGAGGCCUUCUCCUAGGGCGCUGGCCUGCGAAGCACACCGUGGACCCUCAGGAGCGACGUCCCCAAACGGCGUCCUUGCUGCCCGUACAGUGCAGGCCCCGGGCGCUGUUUCCUCUGCCCCCCACCCCGGCCCAGGUCCCAGAGCACAGCGCAGGGCGGGAUGGCCCCCUCCACCCUCCAGGUUAACCCCCGCGCAGCCUUUAUGGGAAACGUUUGGAACACACUGCCACGCCACUGGCUGCCCGCAGUCCUCAGUCGUGAAGCAUAUCGGAUCUUCGCUCCCUGAUCAGGAAUUGAACCCACACCCACUGUAUUGGAAGGUGAAGCCUUAAGCACUGGAUCACCAGGGAAGUGCCUUCCCUGACUUUGAUGUUAACUGCACCUGCAAAACCCCUUUCCAGCCGCACCUAGACUCAAGUUUGAUCACCUAAUUGUGUGACAGAAUUAACCCUCCUGGAAGGGUCAUCCCAGGUUGGUACCUCCUGGGACUGUCAGAGAGGGAUGACUGUGGACAGGACGGACCAGCAUUGGGAGUGAGAGACACUCAGGUUGGCAUCAGGUUGUCUCCUGGGUGCAGAAGAGGACACGGCUCCUCGGGCUUACCAAGGGUUCCUUGCCAAAGCUGAGCCGGUGGUGAAGGGUUUGUGCACAGAUGACUCCUGGCUCGAGCCUGUGUUCUCCCUGCUUCCCCUUCAGCCCACACAGACAGAGCUCCUUGCUGCAGAGUCCCGUCCCUGCGUCUCCCUCUCCUGUCCCCCUGCCGCCCCCUACCCCCUGCCACUGGGCCACUUUAUGUCUGGCUGCCUCAGCAUCUCUGCUUCAGUUGCCUGUUCAAACAACCUGUGCCUGCCAUUCCCACCAACCUAGGUGCCAGGGCCUCUUUCCUGGAUGCCCUCUGCUCUGGAUUCCCUCCCCACUUUCUUUAGCUGCCCCCGCACCCCGGCCGCCAAAACACACCCUGGGCCUUUUGAAGCAUCACAGGUGGGAUCCAGACCCCAGUGGUCUGAACCACAUCAGAAAUGAACAGCUCUUGGGCUUCGCUGGCGGCUCAGUGGUAAAGAAUCCACCUGCCCAUUACAGGAGACACGGGUUCGAGCCCUGAUCCGGGAAGAUCCGAUGUGCUGCGGAGCAACUAAGCCCGUGCUCUGGAGCCUGGGAGCCGCAACUACUGAGCCCACAGCUACUGAAGCCUGUUAGCCGAGAGCCUCUGCUCCCCAGCGAGGGAGGGCGCCGCAGUGAGAAGCCUGACCACGGCAACUGGAGAGCAGCCCGCACAGCGACGGAGACCCAGUACAGCCAAAAAUAAAAUAAAUAAAUACA